GAUGAUCGCUGGCGGCGUGCCUAAUACAUGCAAGUCGAGCGAACAGACGAGGAGCUUGCUCCUCUGACGUUAGCGGCGGACGGGUGAGUAACACGUGGAUAACCUACCUAUAAGACUGGGAUAACUUCGGGAAACCGGAGCUAAUACCGGAUAAUAUAUUGAACCGCAUGGUUCAAUAGUGAAAGACGGUUUUGCUGUCACUUAUAGAUGGAUCCGCGCCGCAUUAGCUAGUUGGUAAGGUAACGGCUUACCAAGGCAACGAUGCGUAGCCGACCUGGGAGGGUGAUCGCCCCCCCGGGACCGGGGCACCGUCCCAACCCCCGAGGGGAGGCACGGGUAGGAAAUUUACGGGAUGGGGCAAAGGCCUGCAGGGGCAACCCGGCGUGAGUGAUGAAGUUCUUCGGCUCGGAAAACCUUUUUUUUAGGGAAGAAAAAAUGUUUAAGAAACUAUACACUUUUUACCGGAACCUAAUAAGAAACCCCCGGCAAAUUCCGG
rnacentral:rRNA from 1 species